AAAAACAUGUCCUUUUGAUUUUAAUUUAAGGUCUAGCCCUGCUCAAUGAAUUUUAAAUAGCCGCAGUAUCUUAACUGUGCAAAGGUAGCAUAAUCAUUAGUUUUUUAAUUGAAAGCUGGAAUGAAAGGUUGAAUGAGAAAAUUACUGUCUCUGUAAAAAUUUUAUAGAACUUUAUUUUUAAGUUAAAAAGCUUAAAUGUGUGUAAAAGACGAGAAGACCCUAUAGAGUUUAAUAUUUGGAAUUAUAUUUUUUUUAGAAUUCUAAAAUUUAUUAGUAAAAAGUAUUUAAUUGGGGUGAUUGGAAAAUUAAAAAAACUUUUCUUUAUAAAAUCAUUUAUUUAUGAAAAUAUGAUCCUUUAAAAAGAUUAUAAGAUUAAAUUACCUUAGGGAUAACRGCGUUAUUUUUUUUGAGAGUUCAAAUCGAAAAAAAAGAUUGCGACCUCGAUGUUGGAUUAAAAUUAAUUUUCGGUGUAGAAGCUGAAUAAAUUAGGUCUGUUCGACCUUUAAAAUUUUACUUGAUCUGAGUU
rnacentral:rRNA from 1 species